rnacentral:rRNA from 1 species
GACGAACGCUGGCGGCGUGCCUAACACAUGCAAGUCGAACGGAGUAGAGAGCUUCGGUUUUCUGCCUAGUGGCGAACGGGUGAGUAACGCGUGAGAAACCUGCCUUUCAGUGGGGGACAACAGUUGGAAACGACUGCUAAUACCGCAUAAUGUUUCGAGAGGGCAUCCUUUUGAUACCAAAGCUUUAUGUGCUGAAAGAUGGUCUCGCGUCUGAUUAGCUAGUUGGUGAGGUAACGGCUCACCAAGGCGACGAUCAGUAGCCGGUCUGAGAGGAUGAACGGCCACAUUGGGACUGAGAUACGGCCCAGACUCCUACGGGAGGCAGCAGUGGGGAAUAUUGGGCAAUGGGGGAAACCCUGACCCAGCAACGCCGCGUGAAGGAAGAAGGCCUUCGGGUUGUAAACUUCUUUUACCAGGGACGAAGAACGUGGCGGUACCUGGAGAAAAAGCAGCGGCUAACUACGUGCCAGCCGCCGCGGUAAGAC